GUACACGCUGUGACUAGCAUAUCAAUAAGCGGAGGAAAAGAAACUAACAAGGAUUCCCCUAGUAACGGCGAGUGAAGCGGGAAGAGCUCAGAUUUGAAAUCUUAAAGGGUUUCCCUUUACGAAUUGUAGUUUAAAGAAGUGUUUUCUGUUGAGGUUUUGGUAAAAGUUCUUUGGAAUAGGACAUCAUAGAGGGUGAGAAUCCCGUAUUUGACCUUUACUUUCAACUUUGUGAUACACUUUCAAAGAGUCGGAUUGUUUGGGAAUGCAGUCCAAAAUGGGUGGUAAAUUUCAUCUAAAGCUAAAUAUUGGCGAGAGACCGAUAGCGAACAAGUACCGUGAGGGAAAGAUGAAAAGAACUUUGAAAAGAGAGUUAAACAGUACGUGAAAUUGUCAAAAGGGAAGCGUUUGACACCAGUGUUGUUUUUCUGAAAAUCAAUUAAAGAACUGUUUAUGCUAAGUUGUUUAGACUUUAUCAGCUAACUGUUUAGUUUUGAGCUUUUCUUUAAUGCACUUUUCAGUUAACAAGUCAACAUCAAUUUCUUUUGCUGUAAAAAAGCUUGAGGAAGGUGGCUUGAGAUUCGUCUUAAGUGUUUAUAGCCUCUUGCCUAUGCAGUCGGAGAGAUUGAGGUCUGCAGCGUAGAUCCUUCGGGGCUAAAUGCAUUUGUGCUAAGCUAUAGCAUUUUAUAGGCAACUUGUUGACCUAUGAUUUGUCUUGUAGCUUACUCGCUUAUGUUAUUUUACCUACGCUUAGGAUGUUGAAGAUGUAGCACAUCAU
rnacentral:rRNA from 1 species